rnacentral:lncRNA from 9 species
GGAGUGAGGUCCAUGUGUGAGCACAUGUGGUGUAAGUAUCUGUUUCCUCAUGAGCUCUCUCCUAUUUAUACAGAAAAUACACCGCUCAACGUUCCUUAAGAAACAUCCCAUCACCUCUGCGUACCACCCCUAUAGGCAUGCAUUCGCCCCUCACCACUGCUGUCCCCACGUUGGCUUAAUUUUCCCGUUGCUCAGGUGGAGAUGGUGCAGAGAGAGUUGGCCCAAGCUCUUGACCUCCUACAUGGGAAAGCCAAAGUGGGACCCAGGCUGGGUUCCCUAUGGGGACGCUCUGGACCCCUGACCUGCACCUCUCCCUCAGCCAGGACUUGGUCGUUCGUGGGGAGCACGGAGCGGGGAGGGUCCCUGCUCCGUGUCUAUGCCCGGGAAUUCCAGGGUCUCCAGAGGGCCUGUCGAUGCUGUGCAUUUUAAAAGGUCCCUGUCAGUGCUGCGGUCAUUGCUUCAACAUGGCCAAAGCAGAUGGGAAUCGGCGAGGCGUAUGCUUGUAUUGGACAGUGUCACUGUCAUUCUCACACUUGACCACCCUAGGUAGCACACACCCAGGCGACCUUGCAAGUAAGAGCUCACAGUUCACCCUCAUCCUUAGCCUGGUGUGCGGCACCAUUGUACAAACUCGCUGCCCAUCUGGGUGAGAAGGACUCCGUGCUCCCUCUGUGUUUCUGUUCCGUGGAAAGGAUCAUUUGUGCUGUGUUUUAGAGUCCAGAUAUAAGUGACAUCAUGUGGGGUUGGUGUUUCUCUUUCUGAGGGACUUUGCUUAGGAUGAGCGCCUCUAGUUCCAUCCACUCUGCUGCAAAUGGCACUAAUUCCUUCCUUUCACGGCUGAGGAGUACCGCAUUGUGUAUAUAUCCCACCUCUUGUUAACCCAUUCAUCUGUCGGUGGACGUUUAGGUGGUUUCCACGUCUUGGCUAGCGUGAGGAGUGCCGCACUGGACACUCGGCGCUGUCGUCAACGUCCAUGGGUGCCUGUAUCUUGUUCAAGGCAAGUCUUGUCCCCACAUACGCCCAAGAGUGGGAUUUCUGGGCCACAUGCUAGUUCUAUAUUUAGUUUUCCGAGGUCCCUGCAUGGUGCUUUCCAUAGCGGCUGUGCCAAGUUACAUUCCUACCAACAGGGUGGGAGGGUACCCUCUUCUGCACACCCUCUCCAGCAUUUGUAAUUUCUAGCCUUACUAAUGAUGGCCCUUCUGACAGGUGCGAGGUGGUACUUCUUAGCAGCUUGGAUUUGCCUUGUUCUAAUCAUUCAUGGUGUUGAGCAUGUUUUCGUGUGCCUGUUGGCCAUCUGUCUAUCUUCCUUGGGUGACUGUCUAUUCAGUUCUCUUGCCCAUUUUUCAAGUGGGUCGUUGUUUGUGUUUGCUGUUGAUGGUGUCUUGUCUUAGGUUUAAGUCUUUAAGCCGUUUUGAGUUUCUUUUUGUGCACGGUUUGAGGGUGUUGUUUUCCAGUUUCCUGGAUUUUCAUGUGGCUGUCCAGCUUCCCAGCACCACGCGCUGAACAGACUGUCUUUUCCCCCCUUGACAUUCUUGCCCCCUUUGUUGAAGAAUAAUUGACCGUCGGUUUGGGGUUUAUUUCUGGGUUCUGUCUUCUGUUCCAGUGGUCUGUGUGUCGGUUUUGGUACCUUUGCCACACUGUCUUGCUUACCGUAGCUUUGUAAUAUUGACCGAAGUCUGGGAGAGGUGUGCCUCCUGCUUGGUUUUUGCUCCUCAGGAUUGCCUUGGCCAUUCCGGGCCUGUUUAGGUUCCGUGUAAAUGUUUGGACGGUUUUGUUCUAGUUCUGCGAAAACGAUCACGGAUAGGGAUGGCAUUGCAUCUGUAGAUUGCUUUGCGUAGAACGGCCAUUUUUAGGAUAUUCAUUUUUUCCAAGCCAGGAGCGUGGCCUAUGUCUGCCCUUCUUUGACUCCUCCUUAAUUUCCUUGAGUCAUGUUUUAUUGCUCUCGGCGCAGAGGUCUUGCAGCUCCUGGCUCAGGUUGGUCCCCAGAUGUUUAAUGCUUUGGGUUCUUCCUUGGACCCCUGCUUGAGUGGCUAAGAGGAAGGCCAUCCCCUCCCCUGGAGUGAACACUGGGGGAGGUGUCUCCUUGCAAGCCUGGGGAGAGCAGCCUUCCUCCUGUUCCUUGGCCCUCUGCAGCUACCCGUGUGCACUCCAGGGCCUUUGCCCAUCCCCUUGUCUACCGCCUCUCCUUGUUUUGUCUUCCUUCUUUCGCGUUUACACAGGGUCAUUUUUCUCAUGCAUCCUCCUCACCUGACAAAAAAUAAAAAAGAACAAAGAGGAAAAGGGGAGAGCUCUAGUCCACCUAGAGGGACUCCACACUCAUAAACCAAUUGCCUCCCAAAGGCCCCACCUCCCGGUACCAUCCCACUGGAAGUUGGGGUUCCAACAUAGGAUGCAAUUAGGAGGGAACACAGAGGUGCACUCCAUAAGCAUGGUGGCUAAUGCUCUUUAUAGGCAGCAGGAUUUGGCUAGGCUGUUCAUGAUACAAUGCAUGUAGCGGUGAUAUUCUCCAAGUUGGCCCUGUCCCAUCAUUUUUACAUCAUUUAUCUUGAUGCAUUAGUAUCGAUAGUCACCAGCUUUUCAAAACAUUUGUAGUAUCUGACUAGAGGAAGAUCGCCCCCCCACCCCACCCCCAAACAAAACAAAUCCACCAUAGGGCUUGGCCAAAGGAAUGCCUAAUCUACAUGGCAAGUUGAAUCUAUAUCCGAACUCAGUUAAUUCUCCACUACUGAAAUCAAUAAUUGGACAUUGACAAGUUUCUUUUAGUUGCAAAUUGAAUGUGCCCCUCUUUGCCAGCAAACACCUACCAGUUCCUUCUUGGAUAAAUAGGCACGUCGUAAGUCUAAUCUGUUUAAAUGGAUGAAUCGUUGGUGCACCAUCACUAUCCCAUCCAAAAUGUUCUGAGAUUUUUACUUGAGACAUAAAUUACCAUGUGUGCUUUACAAAACAUUCUGCUCCUUUUAUGACUGGACUGGGACACUUCUGGCCGUACGUAACUUCUAGGGGAAAAGUUGUAUCCUCCUCCUGAAAAACCGAUUGCCCCCUUUGACAUGCAUGUCUAGAAAUAGUCACAAUGGUUUAAUAGAAAAAUUUGUCUUGAAACCCCUGUGCUCACGUUCCUAAGUAGGAGGAACUUUUCUUAAGGGCGCCGUUAAUCCUUGGUGUGAAUAAUGGUCACAAUAUUCUUCCUCCUUUUCUUUCUCAAAGCCAGAAAUUACAGAAAUAAUUACUGAUUUUCUUUUUUUCUUUUUCUUUCUUCCUUUUUUUUUUUUUCUUUUUGGCAAAAGAAGAAAACUUUCCUCAGGUUGUAUGUACGAGUAACUGUAGUAAGAUACAAGCAUGUGACAAAUUGGAGACUUACUUGCAAUGUGCAUCAAAAAUAGUAAUUUUUGUGAGCAGCAAACUUGAAUAGGACACUGCAGAAUAGCAGUCGUCAUGAAACAUGAAAACAUUCACCCUGGUUACAAUAACCUUAAAUCUCACGUUUUGAAAUGGUUUGAUUGGCAAAUGUCUAGUGACUCAGGAAGAGUAGAAAUGGAGGGGUAGUUCUUCCUUAAAUUCUGCACAUGCUGGCUUUUUGGCCUCUUCACCCUGCAAGGUUCACUCUCAACUCCUCCUGGGGGACAGGUCGUUCUCUCUCAUAGAAAAUUAUUUUCUUAGUCAGAGGGUUCUGUGGGAGCCUGAGAUUCCGUUUCGGAAAUGACAAGGCUCCUCUGAAAAGCCAAGCUUGUCCAUGGAAACACGCUCUCUGCCGGCAGCCGUUGGACCCAUCCUGUGCAGGGGUUGACUUCCCUCUGAAAGUGGUACGAUGACACGUCACCACGGUAAUGUGCUUGUGCACUUCUUGCCUCAUGGUCAGGCUGUCGCUCUGUGGCCUGAGAGGUUUGUACGUGGUGGCCAGUGUGACGCUCUCACUUCACGGCUCAUGCUUUAGGAAUGGGCAAUCUCAAUCACUGUUCCUAAGGUAAGUUUACAUUGCUCCCCCGAGUGGCUGUUCCUUCAGAUGGGCUCGCUCACUUUGUCUCCUGCAUUUUUCCUUCUUGUGUUUUUCUUCUCAUUUCUACCCCUCUGAGCUAUCUCUAGAGUUAUGCGUAUAACUUCCGGGUUCGUUGUCUUAAUUAAUAUGUCUGGUCCACCUGCCUCAGAUUCAUCACCCGUCAUUGUUGUGACGCUUGGACUGUCACUUGGUUACCCCUCAUGUGGGUCCUGUUUGCACUUCCUCACCUUCAACAGGACUGAGUAUCAGAGGAGAUGAAAAUAGGUACUGUCCAUGAGCUGCGAAGCAUCGUUCCCAUGAAGAUGCUGGGGAAUAAGCUUCCACCCUUCCCGACUUGAGGCAUCCAUUUACCCCCUUUGGUUUUCAGCCACCACUGACUGUCUAGCUUACUCUUGCCAUCACUCAAGGCUGAACGCAUACGGAGCAUUGACGAGGCACCCGUCCUUCCUUUUUCUAAAAUGUUACCCGUACUUCAUGAAGUCGUCCUCAUAACAUCAUACUAAAAGUCAGCCUUCUAGAAUACCAUUUCCACCUCGUAGAACAGGGCAUCGAGGCCCUUAGGGAUCUACAACCCUUUCCCCAGGUUCAUGAUUCUUCUGAAUGUGUUUGAACCAGACCAUCAGGCACGAUCACUCUUACUUUGCUGUGUUUCUAGAAGGUCUCAGUUAAACAAAGGUGGUUGUUCAAAAAUCCUGUCUGUUGGUUGUUUUAAACUGCAUGAUCCUUCUAAGUCUGACCUUGAUCCAGGCAGCACUCCUGGGCAGCUGGUGAGCCAGGGGACCAAAAGAUUAAAUGGAAUAAAUGAGUACAAAUUUCCCUACGGUCUUCUGACAGCAAGAUGUCAGCAGUCCUCCCUGUUGUGAUAGAUUGCAUAGGAUGCUGCUUCCGGAUCCAAAGGAACAAUCGACAGACGUCACAAAGAUCCACCUCUGGCUGCAUCAGAAAGUUAUGCUCCUGGCGCCACCAGCGAGUGCACCCCGCUAAUGGGUCGGGGACAGAAGAAACCCCGGGCUCCCAUGAAAGGCUGCCCAGCACCGCAGGAGGAAUAGAGGCUCCAAGUGGCUGCACAAUGCCGGCCGAUGACGCAACUAAUAAUAAUGGCAUGGCUUUGGAGCGCCCCACUCCAGUGACAAACAAUCGGGGUGAAGAAGAAGAAGAUUGCAUAGGAUGCUGCUUCCGGAUCCAAAGGAACAAUCGACAGAUGUCACAAAGAUCCACCUCUGGCUGCAUCAGAAAAUUAUGCUCCUGGCUCCACCAGCGAAUGCAACGGGCUAAUGGGUCGGGGACAGUUCACCCUCGGCAUAUUUUGGUGAAGGAGUACAGCAGCUCAGAAGAUAUUCCAUCUGACCCCUCAGUAAGUGCCUUUUAUUAUUUGAGAUAAAAGCAUAGCUUCAUUUUCUCCUUGUUUUCAAUCAAAUUCAAAUGUGAAAAUCUAUACAGUUGAAAGUAUGGAGACAUACUUUUUUCCUGGGUUGGAUGACUGAAUGCCUUUCCCAGUGAUUGACUGUAAAAGCUAUUUUCAGUACAACAGCAUCUGUUGCACACUGCAUGUGUGGUUGGGAGCAUUUUUUCUGCAGAGUAUUACCCUCCUUGAAAGAGAAUUUUUUAGUGUUCGGUCAAAAUAGACUUAGGUCUUCCAGGAAAUUUUGAAGCAUUUCUCACAAAUGACAUCUCUGUUUUCUUUGGGACCAUGGACUCAAGAAAAGCUUCAUUUAGCUUUCUGAGAAAAGAAAUAGUAUGAAAUAUUCUUUGUUCAUAGAGCCCAUGAAGCUUAGAUUCUCACACUGUUUUCUUUUCUCCAGCUCAUGUUGUACGAGUGGCCUUACAGAAGCGGUGUGUAUUCAGAGAUCAUCUCUCCAGUGACAAACAAUCUUGGUGCAGUAGAAUGUGGGGCUUCCUUGCUGACAUUGGUUGCAGAGCCUCCAUAUCCUGGGUUCCUUUUGGAAGGAGACUUGGGGGUUUAGAGCAUACAGCUCUUCGCCACUCAUAGUUUUGCCCAAGAUGUCCAUGCCCUGGACACAAGUAUAUCAUGUUGAUGCCUUGGGUUUUACAUGUUAUGAGGGACAGGGAGUGAGGUCCAUGUGCGAGCACAUGUGGUGUUUUCCUCAUGAGAUAUUUCAUAUUUACAUGGACAUGACAACCAUUGAAUUUCCCCAACACAAUUUCCAUCCCUUCUGCACAACUUCUCUACAUUCAUGCAUUCUCCCUUCACCACCACUGUUCCCAGUUUGGCUUAAGUUUCCCCUUGCUCAGCUGGAGAUGGUGCAGAGACAGUUGGCCCAAGCUCUUGACCUCCUACAUGGAAAAUCUAAAUGGGGACCCAGGCCAGGUUAUCCAUGGGAGUGCCUGGACCCCUGACCUGCACCUCUCUCUCAGCCAGGAUUUUGUCAGUCAUGGAGCACUGACGGGGAAGGGUCCCUGCUCCAUGUCUAUGCCUGGUAAUACCAGGGUCUCCAGAGGUCCUGUAGAUGCUAUGCAUCUUAUAAGGUCCCUGUCAGUGCUGACAUCAUCGCUUCAACAUGGCCAAAGCAGAUGGGAAUCGGCGAGGCGUAUUCUUGUAUUGGACAGUGUCACUGUCAUUCUCACACUUGACCACCCUAGGUAGCACACACCCAGGCGAUCUUGCAAGUAAGAGCUCAGAGUUCACCCUCAUCCUGGUGUCCGGCACCACUGUACAAACUUGCUGCCCACCUGGGUGAGAAGGACUCUGUGUUCCCUCUGUGUUUCUCUCCAUGAAAUAAGUCCCUCAUGUUGUAAGACUCUUGUUAGUGUGGCUGUACAUUUAAUCAGGGCACAUGCUGCACACACCGUGUAGAAAAUGAAGCCUGGAGAACAACCAUGAUAUGAAUGAUAGUGGCUGUUUUUAAUGGUAGGAUUUCAGUAUUGUAAGUUCUUCUAUAUUGGGUUUUCUUUAAGAGCAGUGUUUUGUGAAUCCAUUUAUUAGCAUGCUUUUCCUGGAAAUCAGCCUUCCAGUAAAGUUGUAAUUUUUUUAGUGCUUUUUGUCUUUUCCUUCAUAAGUGACCACAUAUCGUGCCCUGUGCUAUCCAGUGGGAUCUCAUUGCUUAUCCACUCCCAAAGCAGUUGCUUGCACCUCUUAACCACAGAGUCCCAGUUGAGCGCAACAUACAUUUUCACAUAUAUUUGAUCACCAUCAUAGCUUCUAUGGGGUCAUAUCUUCUCAAGGUGUUUACCCAUUUUUAAACUCAGCUAUUUGCCCACAGUCUUUGUUUUUCAUUUUUUUGGUUUGUGUGUGUGCAUGUGUAUUUGUUUUGUUUUAAUUGAGUGUUAGUUUCUUAUAUUUUUUGGAUAUGGGUCCCUUAUCCAGAAGCAAUAUUUGCAAGUAUUUCCUCCCAUCCUAUACAUUGCCUUUUCAUUCUGUUGAUUGUUGAAGAGACUAUACUUUUUUGACUGGGGAAUCUUAGAACCUGGGCAGUGAUCAUUUGGCCAUACAUAUAUGAGUUUAUUUUUAGGUCCUUCUCUUAUGGAUCAUUGGUCUGUCUUCCUGUUUAGAUGCCAGGGGUAGAUGUUUUUGCUGCUGUGGCUUGGCAGUGUGUUUUGAAUCUGGGAAUUGAGACGUCUCCAUUGUUGUUCUUUGCUGUCAAGAUCAUCUUUUUAUUCUUUGGGGCUCUACAUGUAUUUUAGGAUUUUCUUUUCCAAGUCUCAAAAAAUGGCAUGAGGUUUUCUGAGUUGUUGCAGUAUAAUGUGUACAUCAUUUUCAGUAGCAGAGAAAUGUCGACAACAUUAAACCGUCCAGUCUAUGAACAUGGUGUGUCGUUCCAAGCACUUGCACCUUCUUUAAUUUCUUUCAGCCAUGAUCUGUAGUUUUCAGUGUACAAAUUGUUCACCCCGUAAGGGGGUGCCACUGCCUUCCUUGGGUCUUCCAGGCUCAGGGGUGAGAAGGAUGGGAUCAUGAAAAGAGUGAUGCAUCCCUCCCUCCCCUCUGCCCAUUCUCUCUGGUUUUGUCCAGCACCGGUGCCCUGGGCCAUGCUCCUCACUACUGGCAAAAAGUGGGGUGCCCUGCUGGGAAUUCCUCCCAGGUCAGAGUGUUGUUGACACUGCUGUUAGAGUGUCCCCAAGGACUCUCACAAUGCCUAGCAUGGGUCCAAGUGCCCAAGAUAACCUGCAAAUGAAAGAUCCCCUCUGGUCGUCCAAAUUCUCUGAAUGAACAGUGAGGUGAGGGUGGUUGGUUGUCUCUUCUUCAUCUUGCAAGCUCUUAGAGCCACUCUGUCCACUGUGGUACCCACUAGCCAGAAGUGCCUGCUUAUAUUUAACUUAGUUCAAAUUGUGGUUAACUCAAGCAAUUAAAAAGAAGCAUGCUCACACACACACAACACCCAAUGGUUUGAUCACACUAGCCAUAUUUCAAGUGUGCCCAUAAGUGUUGGAGUUUCUAGUGGGUCAGCUUGAAAGGGAGAGCUGUAAUGGACCUGUGGAAGUGAGAGGUUGACAGAUGCUUCUCUCAGCAUCUCUUUCUUGAAGGUUUGAAACUGUGAUCGAUGUCUUACUGAAGGACUGUUGCUCCACAGAGCCCAGGGGAGAUGUGAGCACCUGGAGAGAGGACUAGUGGGAUGCCUUGGAAGGCAGCAUUAGCUGAAGGGGAAGGGGAGAAAUGGGUGGGGCAACUUUCCUUAUAACAUUAUUGCUCAUGUUUAUGAUUCUGCAGAAUUUAUUGCGGAGAGCGUUGGCAGCAUCACUAACGAAGAUGAAGAAUGUUACAUGGCAGAUAACGAGAAUUCUGACAAGGAAAGCAGAAUUAAGCGGAAGCGGAAACGCUCCCUGUUCCUGCGUUUAAGAAAAGCAUUUGGGGGGACAGCCUCCGAUGCCGAUGAUGAGCACACCUAGGAAGAGGCAGUGUCGAUGUGGCAGACCGGGGGUGCAAAGAUUGUCAGUUUGGCAUCAAUGACAACCUGGAUGUGAACACCCCCAGCCUACGCCUCAGCACAUCCAUACCAUCAGGACCUCCACCUAAAUAAGUCCAGAAGCAGCCUCACUCAAUGCUCACCUCCUAGGGCACCUCACUUAGUAUAAUCUCCGUUGUUUAACUGCAUAGAUUUAGUGUAUUAGUUAUAUCCCUAGUUUUAUCUUUUAGUUUUCUCUAUAUGUUCUAUAUGUUCAAUAUUUAUCUCUAUGUUCUGUCUUUAUGAAAUAAAAUGUUUCUUAUUAA